rnacentral:rRNA from 1 species
UCUCAAGAGGUUAGCGGCGGACGGGUGAGUAACACGUGGGUAACCUGCCCAUAAGACUGGGAUAACUCCGGGAAACCGGGGCUAAUACCGGAUAACAUUUUGAACCGCAUGGUUCGAAAUUGAAAGGCGGCUUCGGCUGUCACUUAUGGAUGGACCCGCGUCGCAUUAGCUAGUUGGUGAGGUAACGGCUCACCAAGGCAACGAUGCGUAGCCGACCUGAGAGGGUGAUCGGCCACACUGGGACUGAGACACGGCCCAGACUCCUACGGGAGGCAGCAGUAGGGAAUCUUCCGCAAUGGACGAAAGUCUGACGGAGCAACGCCGCGUGAGUGAUGAAGGCUUUCGGGUCGUAAAACUCUGUUGUUAGGGAAGAACAAGUGCUAGUUGAAUAAGCUGGCACCUUGACGGUACCUAACCAGAAAGCCACGGCUAACUACGUGCCAGCAGCCGCGGUAAUACGUAGGUGGCAAGCGUUAUCCGGAAUUAUUGGGCGUAAAGCGCGCGCAGGUGGUUUCUUAAGUCUGAUGUGAAAGCCCACGGCUCAACCGUGGAGGGUCAUUGGAAACUGGGAGACUUGAGUGCAGAAGAGGAAAGUGGAAUUCCAUGUGUAGCGGUGAAAUGCGUAGAGAUAUGGAGGAACACCAGUGGCGAAGGCGACUUUCUGGUCUGUAACUGACACUGAGGCGCGAA